AAGUUGUACUCCGAAGCGUUUUAUGUCUAACCAAUCUAAGCAUCUUAAUAUAUAGCGACCUGCCCACCACAAAAGCAUUUUUUCGAAGCAAAAAAAUGUUUCACAUCUCAAGCAAAGUCUCCUCUCAUGAGACAAACUCAUCUCGAUUUGCUGAUAACAUCGAAAAAGCAAUGAUGGAUGUGAAGGACCUCUGCGAAUAUGCAAAGAAAAAAUAAUUUAAGAAAAAAACCAAAAAAAAAUUAGGAAUUAUUAUUAUUAGGUUUUAAUGCAUUGUGUUUUUAUUAAAAAGGAGGGAG